rnacentral:rRNA from 1 species
UUGCUGCUUUGCUGACGAGUGGCGGACGGGUGAGUAAUGUCUGGGAAACUGCCUGAUGGAGGGGGAUAACUACUGGAAACGGUAGCUAAUACCGCAUAACGUCGCAAGACCAAAGAGGGGGACCUUAGGGCCUCUUGCCAUCGGAUGUGCCCAGAUGGGAUUAGCUAGUAGGUGGGGUAACGGCUCACCUAGGCGACGAUCCCUAGCUGGUCUGAGAGGAUGACCAGCCACACUGGAACUGAGACACGGUCCAGACUCCUACGGGAGGCAGCAGUGGGGAAUAUUGCACAAUGGGCGCAAGCCUGAUGCAGCCAUGCCGCGUGUAUGAAGAAGGCCUUCGGGUUGUAAAGUACUUUCAGCGGGGAGGAAGGGAGUAAAGUUAAUACCUUUGCUCAUUGACGUUACCCGCAGAAGAAGCACCGGCUAACUCCGUGCCAGCAGCCGCGGUAAUACGGAGGGUGCAAGCGUUAAUCGGAAUUACUGGGCGUAAAGCGCACGCA